rnacentral:rRNA from 1 species
UACGUAGGGUCCAAGCGUUAUCCGGAAUUAUUGGGCGUAAAGAGCUCGUAGGCGGUUUGUCGCGUCUGCCGUGAAAGUCCGGGGCUCAACUCCGGAUCUGCGGUGGGUACGGGCAGACUAGAGUGAUGUAGGGGAGACUGGAAUUCCUGGUGUAGCGGUGAAAUGCGCAGAUAUCAGGAGGAACACCGAUGGCGAAGGCGGGUCUCUGGGCCGAUACUGACGCUGAGGCGCGAAAGCCAGGGGAGCAAACGGG